GACAGAGGUGCCAAGCGUUAGGCGGAAUCACUGGGCUUAAAGCGUGUGUAGGCGGAUGCCUAAGUACCUUGUGAAAUCCCACGGCUCAACCGUGGAACUGCUGGGUAUACUGGGUGUCUUGGGUCAGCUAGGGGUUGCCGGAACAAAUGGUGGAGCGGUGAAAUGCGUAGAUAUCAUUUGGAACGCCAAUGGUGAAAACAGCUCGCUGGGAAUGAUCUGACACUGAGACGCGAAAGCCAGGGGAGCGAACGGG
rnacentral:rRNA from 1 species